rnacentral:rRNA from 1 species
GAUGAACGCUGGCGGCGUGCCUAAUACAUGCAAGUCGAGCGAACGGACGAGAAGCUUGCUUUUCUGAUGUUAGCGGCGGACGGGUGAGUAACACGUGGAUAACCUACCUAUAAGACUGGGAUAACUUCGGGAAACCGGAGCUAAUACCGGAUAAUAUUUCGAACCGCAUGGUUCAAAAGUGAAAGACGGUCUUGCUGUCACUUAUAGAUGGAUCCGCGCUGCAUUAGCUAGUUGGUAAGGUAACGGCUUACCAAGGCAACGAUGCAUAGCCGACCUGAGAGGGUGUUCGGCCACACUGGAACUGAGACACGGUCCAGACUCCUACGGGAGGCAGCAGUAGGGAAUCUUCCGCAAUGGGCGAAAGCCUGACGGAGCAACGCCGCGUGAGUGAUGAAGGUCUUCGGAUCGUAAAACUCUGUUAUUAGGGAAGAACAUAUGUGUAAGUAACUGUGCACAUCUUGACGGUACCUAAUCAGAAAGCCACGGCUAACUACGUG